rnacentral:tRNA from 1 species
GGGGCUGUAACUUAGCAGUAGAGCAUGCACUUGGCAGGCACAGAGUCCUGGGUUCAAACCCCAGCACCACCA